AGAGCGCAGGGUGGAUGCCUUGGCACUAAGAGCCGAAGAAAGACGUGAUAAGCUGCGAUAAGCUACGGUGAGGAGCAAAUAUCCAUUGACCCGUAGAUUUCUGAAUGGGGAAACCCGGCAGGAGAAACUCCUGUCACUGUAUGGUGAAUACAUAGCCAUAUAGAGGGAACCCGGUGAACUGAAACAUCUAAGUAGCCGGAGGAAGAGAAAACAACAGUGAUUUCCUAAGUAGCGGCGAGCGAACGGGAAAGAGCCCAAACCGGAUUGCGUGCAAUCCGGGGUUCGGACUGCAAACGUCAUUGUAAGAGGAUAACAGAAUGGUUUUGGGAAAGCCAGCCAGAGAGGGUGAAAGCCCCGUACGUGAAAUCUGAUUACAGGCAGCAGGAUCCAGAGUACCACGAGACACGUGGAACCUUGUGGGAACAAGCGGGGACCACCCCGUAAGGCUAAAUACUCCUUAGUGACCGAUAGCGCAUAGUACUGUGAAGGAAAGGUGAAAAGAACCCCGGGAGGGGAGUGAAAGAGAACCUGAAACCCUGUGUUUACAAGCUGUGGAACCACCAUAUGAGUGGAACCGCGUACUUUUUGUAGAACGGUCCGGCGAGUUAUGGUUGCUGGCAAGGUUAAGGACGAAAAGUCCGGAGCCGAAGGGAAACCGAGUCUUAAUAGGGCGCCAAGUCAGCAGACAUAGACCCGAAACCGGGUGACCUACCCAUGUCCAGGUUGAAGCCGCUGUAAAAGGCGGUGGAGGACCGAACGCACAUCUGUUGAAAAAGGUGGCGAUGAGGUGUGGGUAGCGGAGAAAUUCCAAUCGAACUCGGAGAUAGCUGGUUCUCCCCGAAAUAGCUUUAGGGCUAGCCUUGAGUUAGACAUAUGGAGGUAGAGCACUGAAUGGCCGCGGGGGCGUCAAAGCUUACCAAAGCCUAUCAAACUCCGAAUGCCAUGUUGCCGAUGCUCAGGAGUCAGACUGCACGAGAUAAGUUGGGUAGUCGAGAGGGAAACAGCCCAGACCUACAGCUAAGGUCCCAAAGUACAUGUUAAGUGGAAAAGGAUGUGGGACUUCGAAGACAACUAGGAUGUUGGCUCAGAAGCAGCCAUACAUUCAAAGAGUGCGUAAUAGCUCACUAGUCGAGAGGUCCUGCGCCGAAAAUGUCCGGGGCUAAAACACACCACCGAAGCUAUGGAAUGUGAAAACAUUGGUAGAGGAGCAUUCUUAACGUGACGAAGCUGUACCGGAAGGAGCAGUGGAGUGUUAAGAAGAGAGAAUGCCGGAAUGAGUAGCGAGAUUUAAGUGAGAAUCUUAAAGGCCGAAUAUCUAAGGUUUCCAGGGUAAAGCUGAUCUUCCCUGGGUAAGUCGGGGCCUAAGGCGAGGACGAAAGUCGUAGUCGAUGGAUAACAGGUAGAAAUUCCUGUACCACAUACAAACAGAACUGUGGGGACGCAGAGAGAAAGCCAGAGCCGGAAAUGGAAAAGCCGGUGCAAGCGAGGUAUCCGUAAGGGAGGCAAAUCCCCCUUGCAAGGAGAAGACGUAAUGCGGAGUGAACUAUAAGUAACGAAGCUGGUGAGCUAGCUGCCAAGAAAAGCCGCUAUUGUUUUGUAUGUGCCCGUACCGUAAACCGACACAGGUGGAUGAGGAGAGAAUCCUAAGGCCGGCGGGAGAAGUGUUGUUAAGGAACUCGGCAAAAUGACUCCGUAACUUCGGGAGAAGGAGUGCCACAGAGAUGUGGCCGCAGAGAAAUGGCCCAAGCAACUGUUUAGCAAAAACACAGGUCUAUGCAAAACCGAAAGGUGAGGUAUAUGGGCUGACGCCUGCCCGGUGCUGGAAGGUUAAGGGGAGAGGUUAGCGCAAGCGAAGCUUUGAACUUAAGCCCCAGUAAACGGCGGCCGUAACUAUAACGGUCCUAAGGUAGCGAAAUUCCUUGUCGGGUAAGUUCCGACCCGCACGAAAGGCGUAAUGAUUUGGGCACUGUCUCGACAAUGCACCCGGUGAAAUUGAAAUACCAGUGAAGAUGCUGGUUACCUGCGCCAGGACGGAAAGACCC
rnacentral:rRNA from 1 species